rnacentral:snRNA from 1 species
UGUCUCUGCCUCCAGUGCAUUUAGCCGAGAAAAUCUCUCGCCUUUUACCAAAGAUUUCCGUGCACUGGAGCAAUCAUGGGUAUACCCCAGCUUUUGGAAUCCCCCCGGGAGAGCGGGGC